rfam:Ipomoea nil DNA, scaffold: scaffold1043, cultivar: Tokyo-kokei standard.
UGGAGAAGGGGAGCACGUGCAGGAUUGAAGCAAUUCAAAAACUUGCACGUGCCCUGCUUCUCCAAC